GAGCCCCGCGGUGGCGAGAGCCGCUCCCGGGCCGGCGCCGGGGACACCUGCCGGCCGCGGGUCCCGCAGCCCCGGCCCGGCCCCCGCCGGGGCUGGCUUUUUCUGGAAACAUGACAGCCGGCCUCGGGGAGCCGGGAAGCCGGGGGGGAGGGGGCUGCCCGGCAGGACGCGAAGGCGCGACGUGGCGACGGUCGCUAAGGGAGUGACAACAGAGCGAUCAACAGAGGGGCUGGUGCGCGGGGAGGUGCGAGCCCCGGGCGUUUAUAGCCGCCCCUCGAUGCCCGCCAGCCCCGCUGGCCGCCGCGCACGGAAAUAGCUGUGCCCGGCGAACCACCGCUCCGCAACCGCGCACGGCAGAAAUAUUAAGACUGGUCUGAAGAACGUAUGGACAGAAAUGACUAUCAGUAAAAGCAACACAAAGGGCAAUAGAGCAAAGUUAAGAAAAAACCUGAAACAUUUUGAUAACCAUGGACACAUUGACAACAAACAAACAGCAGCAAGAUACAAAUAUGACUACCAAUGGCAACUGGCGGUGGCAAGCACUGCUUGAGGAGCGUUUCAGAACUUCUUACACCCUACCAGAAGAGCAAAAGUCUGCCCAGAAGUAUAAAGAUUAAAAUGAACUGGGAACUAAUGUAAAACAGUAAUUCAGCUAAUAGACUUCUAUUUGUAGGAAGAAUGAGAUGCUGCAAACAACAGGCCUUAACAGCAAUGGCCCAACAUUGAAGGACCUGACUCGCCUUCAACUACAACAGGACUGCUAAGGCAAUCAACACACACUGUGAAGAGCACAUGAUCACACAUGAACUUAUUUAUGUUACUUCUUCUUCCUCUUUUCUUAAAAAGCACUUUACAUCUCACUAAAAUUCUAAUUGUCCUACUGAAA